UACGGAGGGUGCGAGCGUUGUCCGGAAUCAUUGGGCGUAAAGGGCGUGUAGGCGGCCAGGUAGGUCUGCUGUGAAAACUCGAGGCUCAACCUCGAGAUGUCGGCGGAAACCAUCUGGCUAGAGUCCGGAAGAGGAGAAUGGAAUUCCCGGUGUAGCGGUGAAAUGCGCAGAUAUCGGGAAGAACACCCGUGGCGAAGGCGGUUCUCUGGGACGGUACUGACGCUGAGACGCGAAAGCGUGGGGAGCGAACAGG
rnacentral:rRNA from 1 species